GCCCCUGUGGCGGAAUCGGUAGACGCGGCAGACUCAAAAUCUGUUUCCCGUAAGGGAGUGGGAGUUCGAGUCUCCCCGGGGGCACCA
rnacentral:tRNA from 1 species